rnacentral:rRNA from 1 species
CAGUCGCCGCGGUAAUACGUAGGUGGCAAGCGUUGUCCGGAAUUAUUGGGCGUAAAGGGCUCGCAGGCGGUUUCUCAAGUCUGAUGUGAAAGCCCCCGGCUCAACCGGGGAGGGUCAUUGGAAACUGGGAAACUUGAGUGCAGAAGAGGAGAGUGGAAUUCCACGUGUAGCGGUGAAAUGCGUAGAGAUGUGGAGGAACACCAGUGGCGAAGGCGACUCUCUGGUCUGUAACUGACGCUGAGGAGCGAAAGCGUGGGGAGCGAACAGGAUUAGAUACCCCGGUAGUCCCUGUCUCUUAUAC